GGAGUUUGGUCCGUGUCUCAGUACCAAUGUGGGGGACCUUCCUCUCAGAACCCCUACUGAUCGUUGCCCCGGUGGGCCGUUACCCCGCCGGCAAGCUAAUCAGACGCAUCCCCAUCCCUUACCGAUGAAUCUUUGCUCCUCGUUAGAUGCCUGCAAAGGAGAACAUAGAGUAUUAAUCCGACUUUCGCCGGGCUAUGCCCUACUAAGGGGAAGGUUGGAUACGCGUUACUCACCCGUGCGCCGGUCGCCAUCGGAGGUUGCAAGCAACCUCCAUGCUGCCCCUCGACUUGCAUGUGUUAAGCCUGUAGCUAGCGUUCAUC
rnacentral:rRNA from 1 species